UACAGAGGGUGCAAGCGUUAAUCGGACUUACUGGGCGUAAAGGGUGCGUAGGUAGGAGUUUAAGUUAGUUGUGAAAGGCCAGGGCUUAACCUUGGAAUUGCAAUUAAGACUGGACAUCUAGAGUUGAGUAGAGGGGAGCGGAAUUUCCGGUGUAGCGGUGAAAUGCGUAGAUAUCGGAAGGAACACCGAUGGCGAAAGCAGCGUGCUGGACCUUUUCUGACGCCGAGGCGCGAAAGCCAGGGGAGCAAACGGG
rnacentral:rRNA from 1 species